rfam:Rattus norvegicus chromosome 2, whole genome shotgun sequence.
UUUGAUUUAGCUCAGUGGUAGAGCGCUUGCCUAGCAAGCGCAAAGCCCUGGGUUCGGUCCCCAGCUCCGAAA